UAGUACCAACUGGGUGACUCUUA
rnacentral:misc_RNA from 1 species